AUGGCUGGGCUAUAGAAAACAGCCAUUCAUACGAACGGGAUACAAACAGACGAAUGCAACUAAAAUACAAGCAGGCAGCUGGUUCUGUCACAAUAUAUUUUUUUUUAUUGUGGUAGCCCACAAAAUAUUGGGACAUAUAAAAGAAAAGAUUCUGUUCCGCAGAGUAGCUGUUGACAUUAUAGUUGCGCAGGCACUUUGUUGACUCUAGAGAACCUCAGGACAAUUGCACAUCCCCGUGACUGCAUUUGGAUGUCAUCCAUAUCAACUUUUGAUGCCAGUUUCAGCGCCUACCAUGGCGACCACGGGAAACUGGGAAUCAGGGUUCCAUUCCAUAUAGGGACCCUGAGAAACGGCUUCCACAUGGAAGGCAGCAGGCGCGUAAAGGUAGUGACGACAAAUAACAAUAAAGGACUCUUUAGAGGCCCUGUAAUUGUAAUGAGUUCACUUGCAAUCCUUUAACUCUGAUCAAUUGGAAGGAAGUCUGGUGCAGAGCCACUGACCCGUGCGUGCUGCAGCUGAAACUCCACUAUCGU